rnacentral:lncRNA from 1 species
GGGUAGGUGUCUGCCACUCAAAGCACCUUCCUUUUUCUAUAGGUCCACAUCGCGAAUCUUGCGGUUGAGAAGUUCUCAUCUUCUUGGGGUGGUCUUAGGAAUCAGCCUGGUGACUGCUCCGUGCACAUGAGAAAUUAAUUCUCAGUUCACAUGGUUCAAACAGAAGUUUGCGGUUCAGGGAAAUUUUGUAAUAUCCCUGAGGGCCUCCUGGCCGGUUCUUGUUUUGCUUUGUUUCCUUCUAUUCGUUGGUUAUCCUACUCAUCAUUAAAACAAAAAGGACCAUCCAA